rnacentral:rRNA from 1 species
GACGAACGCUGGCGGCGUGCUUAACACAUGCAAGUCGAACGGAAAGGCCCUGCUUUUGUGCGGGGCUCGAGUGGCAAACGGGUGAGUAACACGUGGGUAACCUGCCCUUGACUGUGGGAUAACUCCAGUAAACUGGGGCUAAUACCGGAUAGGAGCUCCUGCUCCAUGGGGGGGGUUGGAAAGUUUCGGCGGUUGGGGAUGGACUGGCGGCUUAUCAGCUUGUUGGUGGGGUAGUGGCUUACCAAGGCUUUGACGGGUAGCCGGCCUGAGAGGGUGACCGGCAACAAUGGGACUGAGGUACGGCCCAGACGCCUACGGGGGGCAGCAGUGGGGAAUAUUGCACAAUGGGCGGAAGCCUGAUGCAGCAACGCCGCGUGCGGGAUGACGGCCUUCGGGUUGUAAACCGCUUUCGCCUGUGACGAAGAGGGAGUGACGGUAAUGGGUAAAGAAGCACCGGCUAACUACGUG